GACGAACGCUGGCGGCGUGCCUAAUACAUGCAAGUCGAGCGGACCAAACAGGAGCUUGCUCUUGUUUGGUUAGCGGCGGACGGGUGAGUAACACGUGGGUAACCUGCCCGUAAGACCGGGAUAACUCCGGGAAACCGGAGCUAAUACCGGAUAACACCGAAGACCGCAUGGUCUUUGGUUGAAAGGCGGCUUCGGCUGCCACUUACGGAUGGGCCCGCGGCGCAUUAGCUAGUUGGUGAGGGAACGGCUCACCAAGGCGACGAUGCGUAGCCGGCCUGAGAGGGUGACCGGCCACACUGGGACUGAGACACGGCCCAGACUCCUACGGGAGGCAGCAGUAGGGAAUCUUCCGCAAUGGACGAAAGUCUGACGGAGCGACGCCGCGUGAGCGAAGAAGGUCUUCGGAUCGUAAAGCUCUGUUGUUAGGGAAGAAGAAGCGCCGUUCGAACAGGGCGGCGCGGUGACGGUACCUAACGAGAAAGCCCCGGCUAACUACGUG
rnacentral:rRNA from 1 species